GUCGAACGCUGGCGGCGUGCCUAAUACAUGCAAGUAGAACGCAGUUGCGAACGGGUGAGUAACGCGUAGGUAACUGCCUCAUAGCGGGGGAUAACCAUUGGAAACGAUAGCUAAUACCGCAUACUGUGAGAUGGACCUGCGUGGUAUUAGCUAGUUGGUGAGGUAAAGGAUCACCAAGGCGACGAUACAUAGCCGACCUGAGGGGGAGGGCGGACAACAUGGGAAUGAGACACGGCCCAGACUACUGCAGAAGGCAGCAGUAGGGAAUCUUCGGGAAAGGAAGGAAGUCCGACCGCGCAACGCCACGUAAGUGAAGAAGGUUUUCGAAUCGUAAAGCUAAGUUGUUAGGGAAGCGGUAACUAACCAGAAAGAAACGGCUAACUACGUGCCAGCGGCCGCGGAAAUAC
rnacentral:rRNA from 1 species